AGAGAAGCAGUUGUUUAAGCAGUUGAAGCAAGGGGAAAUACUAAUAUUCAGGCAAAAACCCUAGUGGCCCUGAAUCUGGGGAUAGUGGGAACUUGCAUUUUUUUUAAUAUUUUUCCUUUUUAGCGUUUUAAGGUUUUGGGAAUUCUACUAAAAUUUGCAUAGGGGAUUAAUUCCUAAUUAUUAUUAUUAUAUAUAAAUUUCAUUCUUCUCUUUCAAAUUAAUUGGUUCCUCCGAAAAUAUUAGUAACUCCUAGGCAAAAAUAGGUAAUUUGACUAAAUUAUCCCUAAUUAAUAAGUAUUGGAUUUGGUCACUUAACACUUAAUUAGAGCAAAUAUGGAAAGUUAAGGUUAAUUCUUGCUUAAUUUGUUAAGUGAAUACUCUUUUUUU